rnacentral:tRNA from 11 species
GGAGGCGUUAACGUUGGCAGUGUGGAAGGUCUUUGAACGGCCUACGAUGUAGGGAUACGUCGCGAGAGUUCGAAUCUCUCCGCCUCCGC